AUACAACAUAUUGCCGUUGACUACACCUACCAAUGGCAGUGCUGACUGACUGGGGCUCCAAAAAACAGGAACACAUAAAGCAGUGAAGAUCACUGCACAUGCUAUUUUAGCGCUACAGUUGACUUUGCCUGCAACUGGAAACUAUCAUCUCUAAUCACCAGUGAUUAUCAUCCAAGGCCAUCAAUCAAUCCUUCCAAUUCUCUCCUCCCGAACCUCCUUCCUUCAGAAUGAGCUUCUUUACACCUUGCAGCAAAGUAAAAUAUCAACCAAGC
rnacentral:misc_RNA from 1 species